UAUUUUUCCGUGUCGUGCUGGAUGAGAACCUGCGUUCAGGUUCGAGCCGAGCGAAGCGAGACGACAACGCACAGCGUUGCCCGCAGGGCGAGGCCCAAGGCCGAGUCAAUCCUGCACGACNNCCA
rnacentral:sRNA from 1 species